UACGUAGGGGGCAAGCGUUGUCCGGAAUCAUUGGGCGUAAAGAGCGUGUAGGCGGCCUGGUAAGUCCGCUGUGAAAGUCCAGGGCUCAACCCUGGAAUGCCGGUGGAAACUGUCAGGCUCGAGUCCGGAAGAGGCGAGUGGAAUUCCUGGUGUAGCGGUGAAAUGCGCAGAUAUCAGGAGGAACACCGGUGGCGAAGGCGGAUCUCUGGGCCUGUCCUGACGCUGAGGCGCGAAAGCUAGGGGGAGCGAACAGG
rnacentral:rRNA from 1 species